rnacentral:rRNA from 1 species
AUUGAACGCUGGCGGCAGGCUUAACACAUGCAAGUCGAGCGGUAACAGAGAGAAGCUUGCUUCUCUGCUGACGAGCGGCGGACGGGUGAGUAAUGCCUAGGAAUCUGCCUAGUAGUGGGGAAUAACUUGCCGAAAGGUAAGCUAAUACCGCAUACGUCCUACGGGAGAAAGGAGGGGACCUUCGGGCCUUUCGCUAUUAGAUGAGCCUAGGUCGGAUUAGUUAGUUGGUGAGGUAAUGGCUCACCAAGACCGCGAUCCGUAACUGGUCUGAGAGGAUGAUCAGUCACACUGGAACUGAGACACGGUCCAGACUCCUACGGGAGGCAGUAGUGGGGAAUAUUGGACAAUGGGGGGAACCCUGAUCCAGCCAUGCCGCGUGUGUGAAGAAGGUCUUAGGAUUGUAAAGCACUUUAAGUUGGGAGGAAGAGCAGUUAACUAAUAUUUGACUGUUUUGACGUUACCGACAGAAUAAGUACCGGCUAACUUCGUGCCAGCCGCCGCGGUAA